GUGCUCGCCUAGGCAGCACAUAUACUAAAAUUGUAACGGUACAGAGAAGA
rnacentral:snRNA from 1 species